GCAGCCGCGGUAAUACGGAGGAUGCGAGCGUUAUCCGGAUUUAUUGGGUUUAAAGGGAGCGUAGGUGGUUUGUUAAGCCAGCUGUGAAAUACUGUAGCUCAACUACAGCCGUGCAGUUGGAACUGGCAGACUUGAGUGCACAAGAGGUUGGUGGAAUUCAUGGUGUAGCGGUGAAAUGUUUAGAUAUCAUGAAGAACUCCGAUUGCGAAGGCAGCCGACUGGGGUGCAACUGACACUGAGGCUCGAAAGUGUGGGUAUCGAACAGGAUUAGAUACCCC
rnacentral:rRNA from 1 species